rnacentral:tRNA from 1 species
GGGGCCGUAGCUCAGUCGGGAGAGCGCCUGCUUUGCAAGCAGGAGGUCGUCGGUUCGAGCCCGUCCGGCUCCACCA